rnacentral:rRNA from 1 species
CCUUGACAUACUAAGAACUUUCCAGAGAUGGAUUGGGUGCCUUCGGGAACUUAGAUACAGGUGCUGCAUGGCUGUCGUCAGCUCGUGUCGUGAGAUGUUGGGUUAAGUCCCGCAACGAGCGCAACCCUUUUCCUUAUUUGCCAGCGGGUCAUGCCGGGAACUUUAAGGAUACUGCCAGUGACAAACGUGGAGGAAGGCGGGGACGACGUCAAGUCAUCAUGGCCCUUACGGCCAGGGCUACACACGUGCUACAAUGGUCGGUACAAAGGGUUGCUACCUCGCGAGAGGAUGCUAAUCUCAAAAAGCCGAUCGUAGUCCGGAUCGCAGUCUGCAACUCGACUGCGUGAAGUCGGAAUCGCUAGUAAUCGCGGAUCAGAAUGCCGCGGUGAAUACGUUCCCGGGCCUUGUACACACCGCCCGUCACACCAUGGGAGUUUGUUGCACCAGAAGUAGGUAGUCUAACCGCAAGGAGGACGCUUACCACGGUGUGGCCGAUGACUGGGGUGAAGUCGUAACAAGGUAAGCGUAGAUGA